UCACCCCCAGAAAUUCCUUUUUGUUUCUGUUCCUGUUUUUCAGAUUUCCUCUAAGGUGAACACAUGCAAAUAAUCUCCAGGGUCCUCCCCACCUCAGAGUUUCUAUGGCUACACAAAAAGAGCACUUGGAGGAGGAUGGGUGUCCACUAUUCUGUGGGAGCAGUAGUGACCUCACUGGAAGAGCAUCAUAGAGGAGAAGAGGAGGCCUGGCUUGCAGAAGAGGACCCCAGAGCUCACAAAAAUAUCCUGAGUUCAGGCAGUGAUACUGUGCCCUCAUUAGGAAAGUACCUUUGAGCUUGGACCAGCUCUAACCACAGAGUGGCGUUUUCCAUGCUUCACAUUCUGGCUGCUCAGAAUCCAGCUAGCUGUGAACCACUGUGGGCAGCAGCUAGCUGUUAGCAUAUUUGGAACUGUCAGCAAGGAAGUAUAGCCAAAAUGAGAAUUGCUGUUAGAAAGAGAAAUACCGAGUAAAUUGCCGAUUAACAACAGAAUGUCCACCACGUGCUUCAGCCUCCGGUGCCUUGAAGCUGGUUGUCUUCUCCAGUGGCCCAGAACAAACAAGGAACCAAGGAAGUAAUUUGCAUCCUGUGGAUCCCAUUACGGAACCACCAUUGAGGGCAGGGGUUACUGCACUUAUUGUCAAGGCGAGACUUUAUGCCUUAACUCACCUCUCCUAACCCGUUCUCCACAACUAGGUGAGAUUUGUUUUCUGGACAGCCUCUCCUGCAGUCUGUCCACACGGAAUGGACAGCUGGAAAAGGGGAGAUGAAUCAGUGAGAACGGCCCUAGGAAAGUGAUCUGUUGUGAGACUUGCAGGGGUGAAAAGCAUCUUGUGAACAGUUGAUUAGGAUCAGAUCUGUCUCUAAUCACAACCUUCCACCUGUGAGAGAGCCCCUACUAGCCCACACUCACCCUUCUAUGCAAAUCUCUCCUGUAGGCUUCCUGGAAAGCUGGCCUCCAGCUCAGGUUGGCUGGAACUAAUAGCAAGCUGACAUUGAACUCAAAGCAGUCCUGUCUCAGACUUGUUUGUUUCCCCAAGACAGAGUGAGCUGUCAUGCCCUGGGAACUGAAGUUGGGUCCUCUGCAAAAGCAGCCAAGUGCUCUUAAUCCUUGAGUGGGUUUCUUUUUGAGUCAUCUUUGCCUCAACCCAUUGUCUCAAGUUAAGGCUCAGUAAUUCUCAGUCCUUUGAAGGUGAAUGUUUUGCAUCACUAACAAAUUCAACAGAUGUGGGAGGUACAGAAAUGGGUUAAAAAAAAAAAAAAAAGCUCAAAGCAGAGUGCCUUUCCAUAGGCCGGAGUUCAAUUCCCAGCACCCAUGUUUGGUGGCUCACAACCACUUGUAACUUCAGCUCCAGGGGAUUUGAUACCCUCUUCUGGCCUCCAGAGAUACUUGCAUAUAUUUACACAAACAUACAAAUAAUAAUAAAAGAUUUCAAGCAUAAAUAUAAAACUUAAAA
rnacentral:lncRNA from 1 species